ACCUUUUCUAGAAGGAAACUGGAUUCCCUACUGGAGCCCAAGAAGGAGCAAAAAGACCCCUCUGAUUUCCAGCCACAUGUUUGGCCACCUGUUACAAAAGCCUGACCCUGAGAUACUCAUCUCCUGAUGCCUGCCAGGGGGACCCCCCACCCCCGCCCCGCAGCUGCUGGCGUAAUGACAGGUCAGCUUGCAGCUGCCGGACACUGUGUGCACGGGCCAGAGUAUAUUCAAACGAUUGUCCCUAAAGGCAUUUUGUUUUUCAGGAUGGUAGCAUCCACUGUGGAGACUUUCUCUUUGUAAGCUAAAUGCACAUCAUGGGCAACGGGACAUUCUGAGCAUCUUGGCCUCGGCUGAGACGUGGUGCCACCGCCCCUCCUAUUGGAGGAGGAUGGAGGCAAACACGGCCAAUGGACGGGGGAGCUAGAGAGAGCCGUGUGGGGGAUGAGACCCAAAGGAAAGCAGAUCACGUGAGAGAAUGUCAGGGGCACUCAACGAACUCACCCGAAUGAGAAAGGUUCAGGAACGGUAAGCCAGACUCGGGCUCCCGUCCUGCACCUCAGAGGGGAGGGUUAACGCUUCGAUCUUCCUGCCCCAGCCCCUUGCUGACGUGUGUGAUUUGAGAUAAAGGAGCUAUGUGUGCCCUUGAAUGGAAAUAUCCGUAGCCCGUGGAGCUCAGGAACACUUGCCCAGUGACAUCCCGAGACUGAGCGAGCAGACACGUUCGCCCUGUUUGCAAAGUCAGCGUUGCCGCUGGGGGAGAAGCAGGGGCGGGUUGCGCAUCCGAGCAGGGCCUGUUCUGGACUGGACUGUGAGCCCUGGCACGGCCACCGAGGAUGGGGGCCGUGGUGGAGGCUGUCCCCCGCCUCUGUCCAGGGGAGCGGAAUUGCUGCUUGACUAACUGGAGAACAUUUAUCUUCCUCUCUGUGCUGGGAGCAUUUCCCUUCUCACUUGGUGAGAGCUUCAAUACUGAGUUUCGGCUUCCCCAGUGCUGGCAAAAUCAGGGGCCACCUUCCCUGUCUCCGGCCUAGGCCUUCACUACAGUGUCAGUGGACUUGGCCGUAUCAAGGUACUCACGGUAGAAAGAAGCCCCGGAAGUAAUGCCUCAGGGGUGCUGCUGGCCCUGGCACUUGGGUGGUGGGUGCAGAGAACAAGGCCAGAAUGGCUCUGAGCCCAUGUGGGACUACCCUGUAGAGUCUCAAUGCUCUAUGGGAGCAGUGGCACCCUAAGAGACUGACCUUUGUGCCACUGCACAGCUGGGAGCUUGGAGCCUUGAGAUUUGGGCAUUCAGGUUAGUGGGACCAUCUCUUGACUUUCUGAAUGAGGAAGCCUGUGACAUGUGGCCUGUGCUUGGAUGUGGAAUCACCACAGACACCGUUGAUUCUCCCCCUUCGCCCAGGCAGCCUGCCUGACAGAUGGACGGUCUGCAUCAUGCUAAUUAGUGUUUGCUCCUCUGCUCCCGUGUGCGUGCCUUAUGCCCUCCCUCCUGUGCUUGCCCGUGCCCUUGAAGGCAGGGGCUGUCUCUUCCCUCCCCCCACCCCCGUCUCCCCGCAACGUGUGUCUGAACUCAGAGGUAGUCAGGCCCUGGGGUUCACGAAGGUCCCCUUGUGCUCAUUACUCCUGCUAACAGGUGCUCAGCUCAGGGCCUGUGGUCUUGGAUUCCAGGGGGCCUGACCUGAGCUGGAGAGGUAAGGAAUGGGGUCCAAGGCUCCUAUGCCAUGCCCCGUCUUCACAGAGACGUCCCCGCCCCACCCCCAGAGGAAACACCACCCCUGUCACCACCCACCUCCUGAAUCUGACUUAGUUUUCUUCUCAGCACUUUUCACUCCCAUAUUUGCCCUUGUCUCUCCCCAUCAGAACUGAGCUCUGUGAAGGCAGGGAUUUCUGUUUUGUUCCCUGCUCAUUGUCCAGGCCUAGAAUAGCACUGGGCAUGGAAAGAAUAUCUUCGCCAAUACUUGUUGA